GGAGAGGUCGCGUAGCCCGGUUUAGCGCGCACGCCUGGAGAGCGUGUGUCCGCCAAAAGCGGACCGUGGGUUCAAAUCCCACCCUCUCCGCCA
rnacentral:tRNA from 1 species